CUCCAUGUUGGUCAGGCUGGUGUCGAAGUCCUGACCUCAAGUGAUCCACCCGCCUCGGCCUCCCAAAGUGCUGGAAUUACAGGCGUGAGCCACGGUGCCUGGCCAAAAGUCUCCAUAUUAUUAAACAAUCUUCAGAAGCACAGUGCUGAAUGACUACAGUAAUAAUAUUCUGCCAUGGAUAUAUCAUAAUUUACUUAACAAUUCUUGUUUUAUUGGGCAUUUUUGAUGGAGGAUGAUGACAUUUUCAUAUUUAAUCAAUAUUUUAAAUUGAUGUAUUGAAAGUUGAGAACAUGAAGGUUUCUUUUGUUUAGUUUUGUUUGUUGGGUAUGUAUUACACUGUCUGACUUGAGCUUUAUUCACAUUUGCUCUCUAGGUUAUCCAAGGACAUGGAAAAGCCAACACCAUGGUAGCAUUAAUGAAAGUUUACCAAGAGGAAGAUGAAGCCUACCAGGAAUUAGUUACCAUGGCAACCAUGUUUUUCCAGUACUUACUGCAGCCAUUUAGGGCUAUGCGAGAAGUUGCAACUUUAUAAUUCCUUGGAUGAGGAUGACGUAGGUCCUACGUCUCCAGGAUAGUUGCCCUGGAGAAAGAAGCUGAAGAAUGGACCAGACGGGCUGAAGAAGCUGUUGUCUCUAUUCAAGAUAUCACAGUGAAUUAUUUUAAUUAGACAGUAAAAGCAUUAGCAGGAAUGCAAAAAGAAAUGGAACAGGAUGUGAAGAGAUUUGGCCAGGCUGCCUGGGCCACAGCAAUUCCCAGGUUGGAAAAACUUAAGCUAAUGCUAGCUCAAGAGACUCUGCAACUCAUGAGAGCGAAAGAAUUGUAUUUAAAUCGCAAAAGAGCUGAAAUUCAGGGAAAGAUGGAAGAUCUUCCAGAACAAGAAAAAAAUAUAAAUGUUGUAGAUGAAUUAGAAAUGCAAUUUUAUGAAAUUCAGUUAGAACUAUAUGAAGUUAAAUUUGAGAUAUUAAAAAACGAAGAAAUACUGCUUACUACACAGUUGGACUCUCUUAAAAGACUUAUAAAAGAAAAACAGGAUGAAGUUGUCUAUUACGAUCCAUGUGAAAGUCCAGAGGAACUUAGUCAUUGACUGUGGUGGGGCUGCAGGACGAUAAGAAUUCGGAAGUGAAAGAACUCAGAAGGCAGUGCCAGCAGCUGGAGUCUGUUAAACGGGGCAGUCUGUGUCAAAAGAGCUUCUCUCCAGAGUAGAAAGAGACGGGGUUUCGCCAUGUUGGCUAGGCAUUUUCUCAGCAGUAAAUUACCAGUGCCCUUACUUGCCAUGAUACCCACAACAGGCAGAGGCAGUUUCCUGAGGCAAUCCAGGCCACAAAGAACUGUACAUUUGGGGAAAACAUAUCUUCAAAUAUAUAUGUUAAACUCUAAAAAAUUGGUUAGUAUGUAUUACUUUUGUGGAUACUUAAACAUUCCCUAUGCAUAAAGACCUAGUUAAAGAGAUGCAGGCUUUUGGCAUGUUAAAUAACUCCUUGAUGAGAAAUCACACUAUGAAUAAUAAAUAUGACUUAAUAAAAAUGAAAAAUAAUGAGAUUAGUUACUAUUGAACUAUUCUUGCUUA